rnacentral:lncRNA from 1 species
CGGGAGAGGCGGGGCAGCCCCGGUCCCAGCCCCAUUUAAUUUCGCGGCGGCGGCGGUGGCGACUGCGGCGCCGCGGGCUGGAGGCCGGCGUCGGGGAAGGUCCGGGUCCCGGAUUCCGCACGAGGUGUUGACUGGCGGCAUCUGCCAGCUUCUCCCCCGCGCGCGCCGAGCCCCAGCGGCCCUGGGGCUGCACAUCCCAGAUACUUCUGCGGCGCAAGGCUACAACUGAGACCCAGAGGAGACCAGACCCCAUGGCUUCCUGGACGAGCCCCUGGUGGCUGCUGGUAGGGAUGGUCUUCAUGCACUCUACCCUGCAGGAGACCACAGCUGAGAAAUCUCCUGGAGCCUAUUUCCUUCCCGAGUUUGCACUCUCUCCUCAGGGAAGUUUUCUGGAAGACACAACAGGGGAGCAGUUCCUCACUUACCGCUAUGACGACCAGGGCAAGACAACCCCUGCAGGUGGUCCAGAGCAUGCAGACCGCCAACCAAUCCCAGAAGGAGAGGUAUGAGAUAGAAACAAUGCACUGGCUUCUUUCAUUACUUACUUUAGUAGCUGUCAAAUAAUAU